rnacentral:lncRNA from 1 species
AUAGGACAAGGAGAGAGAAAAUGGAGAGAGAGAGGCACGGGAUAGAGAGAGAGGGGAGGCACAAGAUUAGUAUCAAAACCCAGGGAGAGCGUGUACCUCUUCGAUGUUGUGAGAGAGAAGAGGUGCCCCGCCUGAUUUGUACCGAAUACUCCUUCGCUGAGAGAGGUUGCUCCGUUGUCGAGAGCUUUGGAGACAACAUAGAAGAAGUGGGAGGGAGGAAGGGACACUGAGAUGGGGGUUUUGUUCCUGUAUAAGGGAGGGCGGUGGAGAGAGAGAGAGUAAAUUCCAAUUACAGUUCCUAUGUGCUUUGCCUUGCUACUGUACAUCCAUUGAGAGAGAGUUGCUCUUAUAAAGAGAGAACUUUCGUCCUCUGCCUUGAUUUUUAGAGAGAGAGAAAUACUUUCUAUUUUACCCUAGUUUUUAAAGAGAGAGCUUCUGCCCUGAUCGCAUAGAGGAGAGAGAUGCUCGUGGUGGGGGGCUUGGUAGAGACAGAACUCUAGCCUACCAUUUUUAUGAGAGAGAACUACUCGUAUAUAGAGAGAGUGUGCUUUGAAUAGAAUGGGACAAAGUUAUUGUGGGUCACCG